CCUCAACUUAGACACGUGUCCAGACAGCCAUGUUGGCCUCGACCUACAGACACGUCCAGACAGCCAUGUUGGCCUCGACCUACAGACACGUCCAGAUAGCCGUCUUGGCCUCAACUUAGACACGUGUCCAGACAGCCAUGUUGGCCUCGACCUACAGAUGCGUCCAGACAGCCAUGUUGGACUCGACCUACAGAUGCGUCCAGACAGCUGUCUUGGCCUCAACCUACAGACACGUCCAGAUAGCCGUCUUGGCCUCAACUUAGACACGUGUCCAGACAGCCAUGUUGGCCUCGACCUACAGACGCAUCCAGACAGCCAUCUUGGCCUCGACCUACAGACACGUCCAGACAGCCAUCUUGGCCUCAACUUAGACACGUGUCCAGACAGCCAUGUUGGCCUCGACCUACAGACGCGUCCAGACAGCCGUCUUGGCCUCCACCUACAGACGCGUCCAGACAGCCAUCUUGGCCUCGACCUACAGAUGCGUCCAGACAGCCAUCUUGGCCUCAACUUAGACACGUGUCCAGACAGCCAUGUUGGCCUCGACCUACAGACGCGUCCAGACAGCUGUCUUGGCCUCAACCUACAGAUGCGUCCAGAUAGCCGUCUUGGCCUCAACUUAGACAUGUGUCUAGAUAGCCACGUUGGCCUCAACGUAGACACAUGUCCAGACAGCCGUCUUGGCCUCAACGUAGACACAUGUCCAGACAGCCGUCUUGGCCUCAACCUGCAGACGCAUCCAGACAGCCAUCUUGGCCUCAACCUGCAGACACGCCCAGACAGCCAUCUUGGCCUCAACUUAGACACGUGUCCAGACAGCCAUGUUGGACUCGACCUACAGACGCGUCCAGACAGCCGUCUUGGCCUCAACCUACAGACGCGUCCAGACAGCCGUCUUGGCCUCAACUUAGACACGUGUCCAGAUAGCAGCCAUCCAUGCAGGCAUGGAUCGCCAGAACGAGCUAGGUCCCAGCGUGCUGUGUGACCUGGGAAACAAGUUGUGGAAAGUUGGUCCUGAAUGUGCAUACAUGGUCUUGCAUUUUUUCCAGGAAGCAGUAGACCAGCACCCUCAACAACAUUCACGCCCAGAGAAUGGGGACCCUGAUGGUGGUCCUCCAAGCCCGUGGCCGGGAAUGACGACCCCCAAGACCCAAGAGUCCCACUCAAAGUGUCCUUCUCUUUCAUCUUGGCAUAGACAAUGAAUGGUCAUGUCUGCUUGGCAAAUCAAGUUUUUUCCAUGACUCCACACCGCCAAAAAAAAACCCCAUGGUUUUGCCAAGCUGCCUGAACUUUCCUUUUUUAAAGCAUAAAAUAACCCUUUCUUUGAAAAGUUGCUACAAACAUAAAUAAAACUUAAACAUAAGGAAGGUGCUACA
rnacentral:lncRNA from 1 species